UACGGAGGAUCCAAGCGUUAUCCGGAAUCAUUGGGUUUAAAGGGUCCGUAGGCGGUUUGGUAAGUCAGUGGUGAAAGCCCAUCGCUCAACGGUGGAACGGCCAUUGAUACUGCCAGACUUGAAUUAUUAGGAAGUAACUAGAAUAUGUAGUGUAGCGGUGAAAUGCUUAGAGAUUACAUGGAAUACCAAUUGCGAAGGCAGGUUACUACUAACUGGAUUGACGCUGAUGGACGAAAGCGUGGGUAGCGAACAGG
rnacentral:rRNA from 1 species